rnacentral:rRNA from 1 species
UUACGGGAGGAAGUGGGGAUGACGUCAAGUCCUCAUGGCCUUUAUGUCCAGGGCUACACACGUGCUACAAUGGGCGGUACAAAGGGUUGCAAUACCGUAAGGUGGAGCUAAUCCCAAAAAGCCGCUCUCAGUUCGGAUUGCAGGCUGCAACUCGCCUGCAUGAAGCCGGAAUCGCUAGUAAUCGCGGAUCAGCAUGCCGCGGUGAAUACGUUCCCGGGCCUU